AUUAACAGGUGUGACGCAGGAAGGUAGCCGAGCCGGGCGAUGGUAGUCCCGGUCUAAGGAUGUAGGAAACACGAUAGGCAAAUCCGUUGUGUUGUCUUCAAUGACGAUUCUGAGAUCUGAUGGGACCCCCGCAUGGGGGAAUUCGGUGAUCCUAUGCUGCCUAGAAAACCUUCGUGAGCGAGUUGUUGAGCCGCCCGUACCCUAAACCGACUCAGGUGGUCAGGUAGAGAAUACCAAGGCGAUCGAGCGAACUGUGGUUAAGGAACUCGGCAAAAUGCCCCCGUAACUUCGGGAUAAGGGGGGCCGACCAUGUUGACGGACUUGCUCCGGAAUGCGUGGGAGGCCGCAGAGACCAGGCCCAAGCGACUGUUUACUAAAAACACAGGUCCGUGCCAAGUCGCAAGACGAUGUAUACGGACUGACGCCUGCCCGGUGCUGGAAGGUUAAGAGGACCUGUUAGC
rnacentral:rRNA from 1 species